rnacentral:rRNA from 1 species
CCUAGUGACAAUAGGACGUUCAAUGCACCACGUACCUACCCCCUGGAUCACUGAAGUUAAGCAAGUUUGAGCGUGGUCAUUAUCUGGAUGGGUGACCACCAGGGAAAUCUCGUAGUGCUGGCU